GAUAUUGCUCAGUUGGUAGAGCAUUUUCUAGCAUGCACAAGGCCCUGGGUUCAAUCCCCAGCAUAACA
rnacentral:tRNA from 1 species